UCCCUGAUGGUCUAGUGGUCAGGAUUCGGCGCUUUCGCAGCCGCGGCCCGGGUUCGAUUCCCGGUCAGGGAA
rnacentral:tRNA from 1 species